UUCCAGGCCAGCGUGCCUGCCUCGCCUCCAGCCCGGGGAUGGGCCUCCAGCGCUUUCCAGGCUAACUCAGCGAGCCCAGUCUUCUUAGUCAACUGAGAGACAUGUCUACAGAACAGACCAUGUGGCCAACUCCUCCUCCUCCCCAUGCCCCAGGCAAGAGGACUCUGGGAAGACAUCCAGGAAGCAAGGAGUCUGUAGCCAGGUCAGAGAGAGAGGAGCUGUGGGGGUCUGUACAGACCACCUCCAGCAGAG
rnacentral:lncRNA from 1 species